rnacentral:rRNA from 1 species
CCUACGGGUGGCAGCAGUGAGGAAUAUUGGUCAAUGGGCGGGAGCCUGAACCAGCCAAGUAGCGUGAAGGAUGACUGCCCUACGGGUCGUAAACUUCUUUUAUAAAGGAAUAAAAUCAGCCACGUGUGCCUUUUUGUAGGUACCUUGCGAAUAAGGAUCGGCUAACUCCGUGCCAGCAGCCGCGGUAAUACGGAGGGUCCGAGCGUUAUCCGGAUUUAUUGGGUUUAAAGGGAGCGUAGAUGGGUGGUUAAGUCAGUUGUGAAAGUUGGGGGCUCAACCGUAAAACUGCAAUUGAUACUGGCAGCCUUGAGUACAGGACAGGCAGGCGGAAUUCGUGGUGUAGCGGUGAAAUGCGUAGAUAUCACGAGGAACCCCGAUUGCGAAGGCAGCCUACUGAACUGCCACUGACGUUGAGGCUCGAAAGUGUGGGUAUCAAACAGGAUUAGAUACCCUUGUAGUC